rnacentral:rRNA from 1 species
GGACGAAUAUUGGGCAAUGGGCGAAAGCCUGACCCAGCGACGCCGCGUGUGGGAGGAAGUCCUUCGGGAUGUAAACCACUGUCAGGGGUUACCAAGUGAAGGGGCCUAAUAUGCCCCCUAAUUGAGGAGCCCCAAAGGAAGCCACGGCUAACUUCGUGCCAGCAGCCGCGGUAAGACGAAGGUGGCUAGCGUUGUUCGGAAUCACUGGGCUUAAAGAGCACGUAGGCGGCCUGUUAAGCACUUUGUGAAAUCCCUCGGCUUAACCGGGGAAUUGCUUGGUGUACUGGCAGGCUUGAGGCAAGUAAGGGCGCGUGGAACUCUUGGUGGAGCGGUGAAAUGCGUAGAUAUCAAGAGGAACGCCGGAGGCGAAAGCGAUGCGCUGGGCUUGUCCUGACGCUGAGGUGCGAAAGCCAGGGGAGCAAACGGG